GAUUGGGACGAAGUCGUAACAAGGUAGCCGUACCGGAAGGUGCGGCUGGAUCACCUCCUUUCUAAGGAGCACCACGAAAAGCACCCCAACUGGUGGGGUGCGAGCCGUGAGGGGUCCUCGCCUGUAGUGGGCGGGGGCCGGGUGCGCAACAGCAAACGAAGCCAGACACACUAUUGGGCCCUGAGGCAACACUCGGCUCGGUUUGAGUGGGUGUCUCCCCAUCUUGGUGGUGGGGUGUGGUGUUUGAGAACUGGAUAGUGGUUGCGAGCAUCUAAAUGGAUGCGCCGCCCGCGUGGUGGCGUGUUCGUUUUGUGUAAUUUUUCUUUGGUUUUUGUGUUUGUAAGUGCUUAAGGGCGCAUGGUGGAUGCCUUGGCAUCGAGAGCCGAUGAAGGACGUGGGAGGC
rnacentral:misc_RNA from 1 species